GACGAACGCUGGCGGCGUGCUUAACACAUGCAAGUCGAACGGAAAGGCCCUGCCUUCGUGGGGUGCUCGAGUGGCGAACGGGUGAGUAACACGUGAGUAACCUGCCCUUGACUUUGGGAUAACUUCAGGAAACUGGGGCUAAUACCGGAUAGGAGCUCCUGCUGCAUGGUGGGGGUUGGAAAGUUUCGGCGGUUGGGGAUGGACUCGCGGCUUAUCAGCUUGUUGGUGGGGUAGUGGCUUACCAAGGCUUUGACGGGUAGCCGGCCUGAGAGGGUGACCGGCCACAUUGGGACUGAGAUACGGCCCAGACUCCUACGGGAGGCAGCAGUGGGGAAUAUUGCACAAUGGGCGGAAGCCUGAUGCAGCAACGCCGCGUGCGGGAUGACGGCCUUCGGGUUGUAAACCGCUUUCGCCUGUGACGAAGCGUGAGUGACGGUAAUGGGUAAAGAAGCACCGGCUAACUACGUG
rnacentral:rRNA from 1 species